rnacentral:tRNA from 1 species
AGCAUGGUGGCGGAGCGGUUGAUCGCAAACCUAUGCACGACGGUAUAUGGGUUGACUUCAGGGGAGUCCAUGGAUCUUCGGAGUUCGCAGGUUCGAAUCCUGUCCAUGCUU